UACAGAGGUGGCAAGCGUUGUCCGGAAUUACUGGGCGUAAAGGGCGCGUAGGCGGCUUGGUCAGUCCCGUGUGAAAUCCCUCGGCUCAACUGAGGAACUGCACGGGAAACUGCCUGGCUUGAGUUCGGGAGAGGGAAGCGGAAUUCCGGGUGUAGCGGUGAAAUGCGUAGAUAUCCGGAGGAACACCGGUGGCGAAGGCGGCUUCCUGGACCGACACUGACGCUGAGGCGCGAAAGCUAGGGGAGCAAACGGG
rnacentral:rRNA from 1 species